GGUUCCAUGUGAACAGCAGUUGAACAUGGGUCAGUAGGUCCUGAGAGAUGGCCUACGUUGUUCCGGUAUAUCGAAAGGGAAUUGGGUUCAGAUCCCCGGACCUGGAGUAGAGGAGACAGACACCAUAAGGCGUCCAGUGUGGUAACGCAAACGAUUCCGGAGAAGCUGGCGGGAGCCCCGGGAAGAGUUCUUUUUCUUUGUGAAGGGCAGGGCGCCCUGGAAUGGGUUCACCCAGAGACAAACACAAAAACGGGUGAAAUGAGAACCGUCGGCAAAUGCAAGAAACACGCAAACGUGUGUGAAAGUGUGUAAAACUAGACCAAUACUGCCUCUCAUCAAUAAC
rnacentral:ncRNA from 1 species